rnacentral:rRNA from 1 species
CGGGUGAGUAACACGUGGGUGAUCUGCCCUGCACUUCGGGAUAAGCCUGGGAAACUGGGUCUAAUACCGGAUAGGAGCCAUUUUUAGUGUGAUGGUUGGAAAGUUUUUCGGUGUAGGAUGAGCUCGCGGCCUAUCAGCUUGUUGGUGGGGUAGUGGCCUACCAAGGCGGCGACGGGUAGCCGGCCUGAGAGGGUGACCGGCCACAUUGGGAUUGAGAUACGGCCCAG